GACGAACGCUGGCGGCGUGCUUAACACAUGCAAGUCGAACGAUGAAGCCGGAGCUUGCUCUGGUGAAUUAGUGGCGAACGGGUGAGUAACACGUGAGUAACCUGCCCUUGACUCUGGGAUAACUGCUAGAAAUGGUAGCUAAUACCGGAUACGACCCUCGGAGGCAUCUUCAGGGGGUGGAAAGAAUUUCGGUCAAGGAUGGACUCGCGGCCUAUCAGCUAGUUGGUGAGGUAAUGGCUCACCAAGGCGACGACGGGUAGCCGGCCUGAGAGGGUGACCGGCCACACUGGGACUGAGACACGGCCCAGACUCCUACGGGAGGCAGCAGUGGGGAAUAUUGCACAAUGGGCGCAAGCCUGAUGCAGCAACGCCGCGUGAGGGAUGACGGCCUUCGGGUUGUAAACCUCUUUUAGUAGGGAAGAAGCGUAAGUGACGGUACCUGCAGAAAAAGCACCGGCUAACUACGUGCCAGCCGCCGCUGUAA
rnacentral:rRNA from 1 species